AGCCCGCCUAGUCCUCCUUGGGCCUCUCCACAGUAAGAAUCGUGUCCACAAUGGCAGGCUGCCGCUCAGGAUCGCCAAAGGGCUGCUUCUCACGGUUCUGCUCUGCCCUGGUGCGCGUCCAGGAGGGAGCCCUGGUGCUGGUAUUGGGACGCCGAACUCCUCCUCAGCCACGGGAGACUGGCUACCGGUCCCUGUGACAGGGACGGGGGUGCUGAGAGCAGCCUGUGGCACGUCGACCUCCUUAACUAAGCCUGCAACAGAGAGGGCGUUACCCGGGAGGGGCUGGGGUCUUCCACCCCCACUGCCAGGACGCAGGCUGGGAGGACCUGAGAACCUGGCCCAUGGGGCUAGCCCUCAAGGCUCAGGUAGUGACGGGGGUGGUCCUGGGUCAGGAAGGCGGACAGGGCGCCGGGGGCUUCUCUUGAGGAAGCUGACUUUCCCCGGCUCCUCAUUCUCUAGUUUCCAGACCCUCUGCCCUCCUUACUCGAACGGGAAUCACUGCUGGUCUUGUGGGGACCCUUGCAGGUUCUGUCAGAGCCCACAAGACCCCAGUACUGUCACCUGUCUACUUUUGGUCCCACUAGGGUUUACUAAUAAAGAAGACCAUCUUGCAGCUGAAGAAGCUCUAUACAGUCAGCAAAAAUUAGACCGGGAUCUGACUGUCGCUCAGAUCAUGAACUUAUUCCAAGAGCCUGGAGAGUCCUUUGGACUGCAAGGAGAUCAAACCAGUCAAUCCUCAAGGAAAUCAGUCCUGAAUAUUCAUUAGAAGGACUGAUGCUGAAGCUCCAAUACUCUGGCCACCUGAUGGGAAGAACGGACUCAUUUGAAAAGAUCCUGACACUGGGAAAGAUUGAAGGUGGGAGGAGAAGGGGAUGACAGAGGAUGGGAUGGUUGGAUGGCAUCACUGACUCGAUGCACAUGAGUUUGAGCAAGCUCUGGGAGUUGGUGAUGGACAGGGAAGCCUGGUGUACUGCAAUCCAUGGGGUCAUAAAAAGUUGGACACAACUGAGCAACUGGACUGAACUGAGGGACUAGUGGACGGUCAUACAUUUGCUUUAAUCCAG